rnacentral:rRNA from 1 species
AGAGUUUGAUCCUGGCUCAGGAUGAACGCUAGCGGCAGGCUUAACACAUGCAAGUCGAGGGGUAGGGUAGCAAUACCUGAGACCGGCGCACGGGUGCGUAACGCGUAUGCAAUCUACCUUGUACAGGGGGAUAGCCCAGAGAAAUUUGGAUUAAUACCCCAUAGUAUUUUCAAAUGGCAUCAUUUGAUUAUUAAAGUUCCAACGGUACAAGAUGAGCAUGCGUCCCAUUAGCUAGUUGGUGUGGUAACGGCAUACCAAGGCUACGAUGGGUAGGGGUCCUGAGAGGGAGAUCCCCCACACUGGUACUGAGACACGGACCAGACUCCUACGGGAGGCAGCAGUGAGGAAUAUUGGUCAAUGGACGCAAGUCUGAACCAGCCAUGCCGCGUGGAGGAUGAAGGUCCUCUGGAUUGUAAACUUCUUUUAUUUGGGACGAAAAAGGGUCUUUCUAGAUCAACUGACGGUACCAGAGAAUAGA